rnacentral:rRNA from 1 species
UACGUAGGGGGCGAGCGUUGUCCGAAGUUACUGGGCGUAAAGCGCGCGUAGGCGGUCAUUUAAGUUCGGGGUGAAAGGUUCAGCGCUCAACGCGAACAGUGCCUUGAAUACUGGGUGACUUGAGUUCGGGAGAGGGCAGUGGAAUUCCUGGUGUAGCGGUGAAAUGCGUAGAUAUCAGGAGGAACACCUGCGGCGAAGGCGGGUUGCUGGGCCGACACUGACGCUGAGGCGCGAAAGCUAGGGGAGCGAACGGG